ACGCUCGACACCUACUGGAGGCAGCAGUGGGGAAUAUUGCACAAUGGGGGAAACCCUGAUGCAGCGACGCCGCGUGAGCGAAGAAGUAUUUCGGUAUGUAAAGCUCUAUCAGCAGGGAAGAAACUGACGGUACCUGACUAAGAAGCACCGGCUAAAUACGUGCCGNNGCGCGUAGUAUGNGCGGCGUGNGAGAG
rnacentral:rRNA from 1 species